rnacentral:ncRNA from 1 species
GCAGAGUAGGAACACACGUGUGAAAUAGUGCCGGAAAAACGGGGAGUUGUUUUUCGGACGAAAGGACCGUUUCGGGUCUUGCAGUGUGUGUUUCGCAUCCCGCUGC